GGUGGCUCAGUGGUAGAGUGCUUGCCUAGCAUGCAUGAGGCCCUGGGUUCAAUUCCUCAGUACCA
rfam:Dipodomys ordii contig_1217, whole genome shotgun sequence.